UACGGAGGGGGCUAGCGUUGUUCGGAAUUACUGGGCGUAAAGCGCACGUAGGCGGCUAUUCAAGUCAGAGGUGAAAGCCCGGGGCUCAACCCCGGAACUGCCUUUGAAACUAGGUAGCUAGAAUCUUGGAGAGGUCAGUGGAAUUCCGAGUGUAGAGGUGAAAUUCGUAGAUAUUCGGAAGAACACCAGUGGCGAAGGCGACUGACUGGACAAGUAUUGACGCUGAGGUGCGAAAGCGUGGGGAGCAAACAGG
rnacentral:rRNA from 1 species